AAGACGCAAUAUCAGAUUGAAUUGAAAUGUUUAUGCAUCAUUAUUUUUAGUAUAGGUACAAAUGAAUACAUGUACCUUGAUAGUAUAAAAAAUUGCAGCAUACAACGGUAACUCAAAAUAAACUGCAAUGUACCUAUAUUUAAACUGCUGUGCACGAGUGAAUAACAAUUAUGCUUGACCGCGGACGUUGGCUUUAUACACAGUGUUACCUAUCCCAGAAACGGAAAGACAAAUAGUUAAUACAUUUACUAAGUUAUUUCUUGGAGAUAAUAUAAUUAUAUCAAUUGAAAUCUCAAAAUCUCGUUAUCACAUUUCUCGAUGUUCUUGUCUCGCAAAAACGACAGAAACCGCCG